AGGGUGGUCCCUCCCUAUCGGUGUUUGGAUUAGCCCCCAUUACUCCAUGGCUGAGGCUAAUAUACAGAGUGCGACGGAGCUUCAGUUUACAUGAGCUCAUACCUUUCAGCUGAUCUAAACUCGGCCUGCCGGCUCACGUGAACGGAGCUGAGGAGGAGGAGGUUGAGGAGGACUAAGGGCAGAGUAUCCCCAUCCCGAUUAGAUAAAGGCAUCAUCGGCAAUAAAGGAUGCCAGCCCCACUGAUGAUGAUAUGAACAUGUCAGAGCAACAAACAUGCCAAUUAGGGGCACAGCAAACCAAUGAGUGCUGCUACCCCCAGACCCAGGGAUUUCAGGAAUCCCCCACUGCCGAGGGCCAAGCAGUGGACAUAACCACCCUGGAACCGAAACCUGUAAACCGGCUUGAGCUGACAUCCAAGUCUGCCUUAAUAGGCCUCAACACAAAUCACUCAACACGACAAACUGUUGAAGAGAAGAGACAACAGCUAGAGAAGAUUCAGGCAAAGUGGGAGGGAAGUUAACCCGUAACCCGCAAAGGAUAAAUGGGAGGAAGGCCGCUCACCUCUGGCCUAGACCUGCUGGGCCGGCUUUAUUGAUGGCUUCCAGAACUGAAAUUUUUGGUUGGCAGCUGUGUACAAUCCACAGCAUCUUCAGUUCCCACACAGACUCUACCCAUUGUACUACGUCUGCACCCAGAGGUCACAGGGGCUGCUGAGUACCUGCAGCGACUGCAGCAAGACGUUUGCAGGGACAGAAACAACAGCGGGUCAUUUGUAAAGCGGCAGACAGCAGAACGAUGGGAGGAUAAGAGACAGAAACCAGAGGGGAAUCCCAUCCUGCCUGGUGACAGAGGACCAACACGGGACAAUGUCUCCAUUUAUAAACAAUGAAGCGCUGACGUACAGUUUGUUGCUUGAUUGUUGCUGUGCUGUGCUCUGCAUAUGGUUAAGCACCCCGCCCUUGGGGAGUUCAUUGUUCUAUCACACCAUCCUAUUACAGGUGGAGGGCUCUAUUAAAAGAACAAGAGCAGUUUUCAGUGUGAUGUAACCUGAGUGCUGCCUUUUGAAAUGCUAAAAUCAGCAGAUGAGGUGCGUACGCUCUAUUUGGAGGCGCAUUUCUGCUCGUGUCACGCUCUGUUGAGGGAAUGAUUCCAAAAUAACACAACACUCACUUAAUGGGGUGAUUAUGAUGGGGAAAAAAAGUAGCUACAGAGAGGUCUGAAGUCAGCACUUACCCUGCAAAACCUCCACAUCUUCCAGGUACUUUUGUGUAAAGGAGAAUUAUGAGAGUUACAAAAAAAA